rnacentral:rRNA from 1 species
GGUUAAGCGACUAAGCGUACACGGUGGAUGCCCUGGCAGUCAGAGGCGAUGAAGGACGUGCUAAUCUGCGAUAAGCGUCGGUAAGGUGAUAUGAACCGUUAUAACCGGCGAUUUCCGAAUGGGGAAACCCAGUGUGAUUCGUCACACUAUCAUUAACUGAAUCCAUAGGUUAAUGAGGCGAACCGGGGGAACUGAAACAUCUAAGUACCCCGAGGAAAAGAAAUCAACCGAGAUUCCCCCAGUAGCGGCGAGCGAACGGGGAGCAGCCCAGAGCCUGAAUCAGUGUGUGUGUUAGUGGAAGCGUCUGGAAAGGCGCGCGAUACAGGGUGACAGCCCCGUACACAAAAAUGCACAUACUGUGAGCUCGAUGAGUAGGGCGGGACACGUGGUAUCCUGUCUGAAUAUGGGGGGACCAUCCUCCAAGGCUAAAUACUCCUGACUGACCGAUAGUGAACCAGUACCGUGAGGGAAAGGCGAAAAGAACCCCGGCGAGGGGAGUGAAAAAGAACCUGAAACCGUGUACGUACAAGCAGUGGGAGCCUCUUUAUGGGGUGACUGCGUACCUUUUGUAUAAUGGGUCAGCGACUUAUAUUCUGUAGCAAGGUUAACCGAAUAGGGGAGCCGAAGGGAAACCGAGUCUUAACUGGGCGUUAAGUUGCAGGGUAUAGACCCGAAACCCGGUGAUCUAGCCAUGGGCAGGUUGAAGGUUGGGUAACACUAACUGGAGGACCGAACCGACUAAUGUUGAAAAAUUAGCGGAUGACUUGUGGCUGGGGGUGAAAGGCCAAUCAAACCGGGAGAUAGCUGGUUCUCCCCGAAAGCUAUUUAGGUAGCGCCUCGUGAAUUCAUCUCCGGGGGUAGAGCACUGUUUCGGCAAGGGGGUCAUCCCGACUUACCAACCCGAUGCAAACUGCGAAUACCGGAGAAUGUUAUCACGGGAGACACACGGCGGGUGCUAACGUCCGUCGUGAAGAGGGAAACAACCCAGACCGCCAGCUAAGGUCCCAAAGUCAUGGUUAAGUGGGAAACGAUGUGGGAAGGCCCAGACAGCCAGGAUGUUGGCUUAGAAGCAGCCAUCAUUUAAAGAAAGCGUAAUAGCUCACUGGUCGAGUCGGCCUGCGCGGAAGAUGUAACGGGGCUAAACCAUGCACCGAAGCUGCGGCAGCGACACUAUGUGUUGUUGGGUAGGGGAGCGUUCUGUAAGCCUGUGAAGGUGUGCUGUGAGGUAUGCUGGAGGUAUCAGAAGUGCGAAUGCUGACAUAAGUAACGAUAAAGCGGGUGAAAAGCCCGCUCGCCGGAAGACCAAGGGUUCCUGUCCAACGUUAAUCGGGGCAGGGUGAGUCGACCCCUAAGGCGAGGCCGAAAGGCGUAGUCGAUGGGAAACAGGUUAAUAUUCCUGUACUUGGUGUUACUGCGAAGGGGGGACGGAGAAGGCUAUGUUGGCCGGGCGACGGUUGUCCCGGUUUAAGCGUGUAGGCUGGUUUUCCAGGCAAAUCCGGAAAAUCAAGGCUGAGGCGUGAUGACGAGGCACUACGGUGCUGAAGUAACAAAUGCCCUGCUUCCAGGAAAAGCCUCUAAGCAUCAGGUAACAUCAAAUCGUACCCCAAACCGACACAGGUGGUCAGGUAGAGAAUACCAAGGCGCUUGAGAGAACUCGGGUGAAGGAACUAGGCAAAAUGGUGCCGUAACUUCGGGAGAAGGCACGCUGAUAUGUAGGUGAAGUCCCUUGCGGAUGGAGCUGAAAUCAGUCGAAGAUACCAGCUGGCUGCAACUGUUUAUUAAAAACACAGCACUGUGCAAACACGAAAGUGGACGUAUACGGUGUGACGCCUGCCCGGUGCCGGAAGGUUAAUUGAUGGGGUUAGCGGUAACGCGAAGCUCUUGAUCGAAGCCCCGGUAAACGGCGGCCGUAACUAUAACGGUCCUAAGGUAGCGAAAUUCCUUGUCGGGUAAGUUCCGACCUGCACGAAUGGCGUAAUGAUGGCCAGGCUGUCUCCACCCGAGACUCAGUGAAAUUGAACUCGCUGUGAAGAUGCAGUGUACCCGCGGCAAGACGGAAAGACCCCGUGAACCUUUACUAUAGCUUGACACUGAACAUUGAGCCUUGAUGUGUAGGAUAGGUGGGAGGCUUUGAAGUGUGGACGCCAGUCUGCAUGGAGCCGACCUUGAAAUACCACCCUUUAAUGUUUGAUGUUCUAACGUUGGCCCCUGAUCGGGGUUGCGGACAGUGUCUGGUGGGUAGUUUGACUGGGGCGGUCUCCUCCUAAAGAGUAACGGAGGAGCACGAAGGUUGGCUAAUCCUGGUCGGACAUCAGGAGGUUAGUGCAAUGGCAUAAGCCAGCUUGACUGCGAGCGUGACGGCGCGAGCAGGUGCGAAAGCAGGUCAUAGUGAUCCGGUGGUUCUGAAUGGAAGGGCCAUCGCUCAACGGAUAAAAGGUACUCCGGGGAUAACAGGCUGAUACCGCCCAAGAGUUCAUAUCGACGGCGGUGUUUGGCACCUCGAUGUCGGCUCAUCACAUCCUGGGGCUGAAGUAGGUCCCAAGGGUAUGGCUGUUCGCCAUUUAAAGUGGUACGCGAGCUGGGUUUAGAACGUCGUGAGACAGUUCGGUCCCUAUCUGCCGUGGGCGCUGGAGAACUGAGGGGGGCUGCUCCUAGUACGAGAGGACCGGAGUGGACGCAUCACUGGUGUUCGGGUUGUCAUGCCAAUGGCACUGCCCGGUAGCUAAAUGCGGAAGAGAUAAGUGCUGAAAGCAUCUAAGCACGAAACUUGCCCCGAGAUGAGUUCUCCCUGACCCUUUAAGGGUCCUGAAGGAACGUUGAAGACGACGACGUUGAUAGGCCGGGUGUGUAAGCGCAGCGAUGCGUUGAGCUAACCGGUACUAAUGAACCGUGAGGCUUAACCUU